rnacentral:rRNA from 1 species
AUGCAAGUCGAGCGGUAACAUUUCUAGCUUGCUAGAAGAUGACGAGCGGCGGACGGGUGAGUAACGCGUAGGAAUCUGCCUAGUAGUGGGGGACAACAUGUGGAAACGCAUGCUAAUACCGCAUACGCCCUACGGGGGAAAGGAGGGGAUCUUCGGACCUUUCGCUAUUAGAUGAGCCUGCGUGAGAUUAGCUAGUUGGUGGGGUAAAGGCCUACCAAGGCGACGAUCUCUAGCUGGUCUGAGAGGAUGAUCAGCCACACUGGGACUGAGACACGGCCCAGACUCCUACGGGAGGCAGCAGUGGGGAAUAUUGGACAAUGGGCGCAAGCCUGAUCCAGCCAUGCCGCGUGUGUGAAGAAGGCCUUAGGGUUGUAAAGCACUUUCAGGAGUGAGGAAG